GGUGCCCUCCUCCUAGCUUCUACGAUCCUUAUCUCACCUACCCCGGUGGAUGGCCUUUUUGCUGUGGCACAAACCCUCAGUGAUAUUCCUUGUACGAUUCGUUUCAGGCUACGUAAAAUUCAUAGAAUUCGCCUUUGAGCAUUCCCACACUUUUGUGAUAACCUAUUGGUGGCUACUUCAGGAAACUCAGUAUAACCAACUAGAUGAAAGAAAAACAACAAAUCUGCAUUAUAUUGCUUUAUUAUUUCCAUUGCAAUCACCUUUAUUUAGCGAUAUUCUGUUAUGGUGGGCUUUUCCAUACAGUUGGUUCGUAAUUGAAAAUAAAAAAGUUAUCUUCAAGAAGGUUUCU